rnacentral:tRNA from 1 species
UGGCUCAGACGGUAAAAGCUUCUGCCUACGAAGCAGGAGACCCAGGUUCGAUCCCUGG